GCUGGUGACUGAAAAGUAUGCAGUAGAACCAGCAAGAGCAGUAUGUUGAUGGUUACUGUGUCCUUAUCAUACUAUCUUUUGAUUUCUCUCUUAGGUUUAUUUUCUUGAAAAGGCUCCAGGCUUCGGCUUGGAAAAUCCAACCGCCAAAAUUGAGCCCAGCAGCUGGAGCGGCAGUGAGAGCCCUGCCGAAAACAUGGAAAGGAUGAGUGACUCUGCAGAUAAGCCCAUUGACAAUGAUGCAGAAGGGGUCUGGAGCCCCGACAUUGAGCAGAGCUUUCAGGAAGCCUUGGCUAUCUAUCCACCAUGUGGGAGGAGGAAAAUCAUCUUAUCAGAUGAAGGCAAGAUGUAUGUUGGCCAUCCAAGGGACUGAAUCUCAACUGAAGAGGAGAGUCAGUAAAGGACCACUGAGAAAUCAUUCCCUGGAGUUUCUUCUUCUUCUUCUUCAUAUCAAAAGCUCUCGAGGACCAGAGAGGAACAGAGGUCGUUGCAGUGGCAUAUGCAGACACCAAACGUGGGGACUAAGUCUUCUGAACGCGCGCCCCAUCAAAAGGAAGUGCUGCUGCUUAGCUCCAGAUAACUGACUGGAGCUCUGUAGAAAUGGGGCCUCGUGCUGCCAGAUCUAGCAAGAUAGAUGUUUAUAUAUGAAAUGUACUCAUUUUUAAAAGCCAGCAUUUUUUUCUUUUUUAAACACAACCCUAUAUAGGCCAUAUAAAACAUGCCCAGGGACUUGAUCAGACCUUUGAACCACCAGUUUGCUGCAUUGUUGCCAAUUUGCAGUUGAAUGGCCAGACAAGGCACCGACCCCCAGGCUACUCUGACCAGUCUCCCUUUCCACAUGGGGACCCCUCACAGUACAUUCAAAUCUCCAAGAGCACCCAAGAGGAUGCGACCGGUUGACCAGAUGUCUGGGGGUGCCAAAGGUGGCAGCAAGCACCCAUCCACUAGUCUGGGGCUUGCACACUGGGUUUGGACCUUCCCUGCACCUGCUGUAAAGGCUUCCAGCUGCUGACCUGUACUUUCUGCCUGCUUACCUUUUGGGAAGCAGAUGGCAGGUGGUUGCAUAUACAUUCUGCUUGUCUAAUUGGGCACGUUAAGUUGACAGUUUGCACUGUGGCUGAGUCUAAAGAGAUGCAAACAAAUAACCUAAACUCAAAGAGAACUGGCUCAGCAGCCUACUGGAGGUUGUUAACUUAUCAUGGGAGUGAUUUAUUUCUAAAUAAUUUGAAAGCUUUUCCAUAAUAGGGUGUUGUACCUUUAAUACCGCACCUCCUCUAUCAGGAGCCGUAGGAGGCUGCAGCUCAAACUAGCACCCACUGCUGAGGAGAAAGCAGAUGGUGGUGCAGCUGCCACCAGCUGUGCCCCCCACCCUGCCCUACCCCUCUCCAAUUUGGAUGAUGUAAUGGAAACAAGGAAAAUUUUGCUUUCUGCAGCAUUAGAGUCUCUCUCUCUUGGCCAGUUGGUGUCGCACACACAGGAGAGAAAGAGAACGUAAACCUUCAGUAUUUGUUUUAUGUUCUCAUGUGAUCCUUUGUAGCCAAAGAAGCUUCUUCGUGUCUGGUGAAAUGGACUCAGGAUGAAACAUCUCAGCUGCUGUGGGUAGAAAGUUUCAGGGCCUUCGAUUUUCUGUGUGCUUCUAUCUUUCCUGGGCUACCCUUCCUCAGCCUGGCUAUUUGCUUUCAGGGUCUUGUUUUCAUACCUAAAAAUACAACUUUCCCAUUUUAAAGGCAGAGAAAAGCACUUUAAUCUUUGAUCCUUCUUUGAAGCUGAUUUUAUUAGGAGUAGUGAAGGUGGCUUCGGGCCAUUCUACCUUGUACCAACACCCAUUUGUUUACCCAGAAAUUGUUUUAAUCUAAAAUACUGGCCUAGUGUUGGACAUGCUGGUUGGGAAGAACUACUGCCUUUCAUUUCUCACUGGGAAUACUAGGAAAGGAGCUGUCCCUUUAGGAAGCAGGUUUUUGGGCUAGGAAUAAACAUAAUUCAAAGCCAGAGUUAUUCUUUUCAACUCCAGUUUUGUUUUGUUUUUUUCCAUUGAUUUUACUUUUUAGGUGGCAGCCAUGGUAGAUUGAACUAAUUUUUUUGUGAAAAUAAUUUGUGAAAGAACUCUUGUUGGUAACUGGGGGGUCAAAGGCAGCAGACUAGGAAGAAGAAUUGUGAGAAGCUUUGGAUUUGAGCCGUCUACCCACAGUGAACUUGAACAAUCCUACCCUUGGUCUGUGUCUGAGUUUUCUCCCCUGUACAAAAUGAGGAUAAAGUAGAUGAUAUCCGUGGUCCUUGGGGCGUGUAUAUAGUAUGAUGCUGGAUUUUGUGACUUGUACUUCAGUAAGAGUGAUCACUGUGUUGACAAAUGUGGCGCUGGUUGUGGAGCAUGUCUUUAAUACUGAAAGUAAUCAGAUUCUGAGUGCUUCCUGAGAGCGUAUGUUCUUUUUUCUUUUAAAAUUUUAUUUAUUUAUUUUUAGCUUCAUUGGGUCUUCGUUGCUGUGCACGGGCUUUCUCUCCAUUUGCGGUGAGUGGGGGCCACUCUUCCAUGCGGCGCGUGGGCUUCCCAUUGCAGUGGCCUCUCUCGUUGCAGAGCACGUGCUCUAGGUGCGCGUACUUCAGUAGCUGUGGCGUGCGGGCUCUAGAGCACAGGCUCAUCAGUUGAGGUGCACGGGCCUAGUUGCUCCGUGGCAUGUGGGAUCUUCCUGGACCAGGGCUCGAACCCGUGUCCCCUGCAUUGGCAGGCGGACUCUCAACCACUGCGCCACCAGGGAAGCCCGAGCGCGUGUGUUCUUGACGCAUGGAUUCUUUUUCCUGAAAUCCACGUUACAUUUAUUGACCGUGUUGGUGACCAACCUGAUUUAAAAUUGAGCAGUCAUUUUGAGCGAGUAGCAUUAGGAAUUACAACUGCAAGGUCAUGUGUCCUGGUUAGGGGUGCAAGAGAUGGAUUUGCUGCAGUGGCCCUGAAGCCUCUCCCAUGUCUAGGCCACUGCCUUGGGGAGAAAACAUCCCCUUCAACUCCCUCUCUUUGGCCAGCAUGGAGGAGCUUUGCUUCUACUGCUGCUUUCAAGGGAAACAUGGUGGUUAUCAGGGCUAUGGGAAAUGGAGACUGGAUCCCUUCAGAGAAGCUAGCCCAGGUGCCUGAGAGCUGCAUGGGACCUGCCUGUAACUUUGAGGGCGAGAGAAGGUUGAUUUGGGAGCCUCCACAGUGAGGCUCCAGCCACUCGGGAAUUGAGUCAUGUGAGCAGUAUGGGACCAGAGCUACUGUUCCUUGGCUUCUGGCCUGUUCCCCAUCUUACCACACGUGAAUCAGGACACAAACCAGACCAGGAGUCGAGGUUUCUGAAGGUCCUAAGAGCAUGCUUUUUCUCUCAAGCAUUUUGGAAAUGAAAACAUUGAAAGCAUUUUGGAUUCCAUGGAGUAAAAUCAAAAUAAUUUAAUGCCUUCUAGUGAAAUACCAAGUGUUUUUGACUUGAGGGGGUUAUUCCGGUAUUUCUGAGCAUCUGUAUAGUAUUGUGAUGUCACUAAUCCUGAGCCUUUGGAGAAGCAAGGUCAAGUGCAGUGCUGAUUUAUUUUGGUAAUGAAAUCUCCUCCGUGGUUGACAGUAGGGCAAAUGCAAUCUUAUAGAGGGGGAAAAUGGAAAGUUCUAUUUACGUUGAGGUUUGGGCCAUUAGAAAAGAUGGCUUAAUUUUCCCUAUGCUACCUGGGUCGUUGGAGAGGCUGAGCCUUUAUGUGGUUGGUCUCCACGUGGACAGAUUAUUUCUGCCUGCAGUACCCUAUGGGUAGGCAGUUGUUCUUAGAGAUUAUUAGAAGGAGGGUGAGACUUCUUUGACUGUUCUUGAGAGGUUGCAAGCUCACUCCCUCUCUUCUCUGUGUUUUCUUUUUCUUAUUUUUACAUAGCUGUGUGUCUCUUUCUCUGGUAGAUAGCUGUGGAGUAGAAAGCAGGAGGACAAGAUGGCAGAGAUGCUCUUGAUCAGCAGAGUUGUCUGGAAUUGAAUUUCACAGGAGCAGGUCACAGCUUAAAACAAGACAGAACAAAACAGUGAAUCAUGGGAAUGUCUGGAUGUGUUUUCUAUUGCACUUGAAAACCCUAGUCAGGCAGUGUGGUCAAAUAUCUCUCAUAAUCAAGUUAGGGACCGGAGCUAACAUUCACUGGCUGCUUGCCUCAGAGACACGCAGUGUAGCACCUUAAAUUUUGAACUUUGGAAUUGAUAUGAAGCCUGGCCCUACCUCUUCUAGACAUCAGACUCCGGGCAAGUUGCUUUUCCUCUCUGUGCCUCCAUUUCUUCAACUGCAAGAGAGAUUUAGAUAGAUCUUCCUUCACAGGAUUGUUAUAAGAAUUAAAUGAACUUGUUAUGGUUUGGGAUCCCCCUACCACGUUUGGACAGUGUCUGGCAUACAGUGAGAGUUAAUCAGUGUUUCUGAAGUGCUCUCUGCCAAUAGCUGGGUUAAGGCUUUACAUAAAACUUCCGUCUCUUGCUCACAACAGCAUUUUGAGGUGGGUAUUGUGAUUCCCACUUUAUAGAUGAGGAAGCUGAGUCUAAAAGGGAUAAAGUGGCUUGUGCAUGAUCAGUAUAAAUGGUAUAGCUGGGUGCUUUCAAAACCAGCUCUGUCUGACUCCCAAACCUGGACUCUUUCCACUGUGCUUUCAUUCCUUCCUUGCUGGAGGUCAUUAUAAGUGAAUUCAACAAGUCAGCAUUGAGAGUACCGCCUGUAUUCCAGCCCUGUACUAGGGGUUGUCAGGGAUACAGCAGUGAGCCAGCCAGACAGUCCCUGCCCUCAUGGAGCCAUCACAAGUUCAUUUGCAGGAAGCACUGACCUGAGGUUAGGGCUGUGUGCCAGAGCUUUCUGGGAAGUCUGAGACCCCUUUGAAGAUGUUCACCUUCCACUUAGCCUUUUGAAGCCUGUUCCUGGCCACCAGUGUCCAGGGCACCUGGCCCAAUGCUGGCAGGAAGAAAGCUUCUCAAAUAUCGCAGCGGGGAGGAUCCUAGAUCAUAAGGCUGGCCUUGGUGGUGGCCAGAAAGAUGUCUGGAAGAUUCUGGUGCCCUAGGAUCCUACAGGCAGCUUGGGCAGAGCAAUUGCUGGACAAUUGCUUUCUCCUUUUGUGAGCAGAUAUCUUCAGGGUCCUUGCUUAGGAGAGCUCCAGGGGUGCCCCCACUUUCUUGCUGGGUUGCCAGGCCUACUGGUCAGCCCUAGAGAGCUGAGUUGUGAGGCAUAGAAAAGAUGAGGGAGGAGGAAGGUAUCUCUGGGCCAGUCCUCCCUGGCUGGUCUUCCCCAGUUGCUGACCUGAGCCCUCCCAGCCAGGGGAGCACGGGAGUCGGACUUGCCUCUUGCUUACUUCAUGGAAGUACAAGAUAGCAGAGAGAAGGGGCUGCUUCAGUGAGGUGGUGGCAGAACUGACAAGGGGACAUCAGAAGGAGUGCACACAAGCAGGAACAGGUGUGCACCAGUUAAUCAGUGCAGGCAAAGAGGCUGACAUCUGAGGUCCCCAUGCUCCUCCUGAUCUGAAGAACUGGUCAAGGCAAUGCCGAGUCGUCCCUUUGUAAGACAGGGUACUUUCACAUCAUUUCUAUGGGGACCAGGAAGGUGGUCUACCUCUGUGGAGGCCCCAGAAGCCCUGAUGUGGAAAUGGCUGUAGAAUCUGAGCCCUGUAGGAUCUCCAGGCCUUGGGAGAGUGAGCCUUGGGGCCUGAGCUGAACUUGUUCUUCCCAGUUCUCUAUCUGAACAUCAUGUGGCAUCUUUGAUUUCCUCUUUCUGUCUUACCUGUGAUUUGGGAUAUUAUUUCAAGUGAAUUUGCUAGAAAUGUGAAGAGCAAAGCACUGCGCCCUUAGAACAGGCUAGAAGCUCCGUAAGGCAGGGGCCCCACCCUGUCUUGCUGGACAGAGAAGGUAUCAGUGAUGUAUGCUGAAUAUAUGCAUGUGUGAGUUAUUAUUUAAAAUAAAGAAAGGUGAGUAGGUAAACCUCUGAGCCCCGAGAGGAGCUGGCUAGAAAGGAAGGGAGAAAACAGAAACAAAAAAAAAGAGAGAAGGGCUUCCCUGGUGGCGCAGUGGUUGCACGUCCGCCUGCCGAUGCAGGGGAACCGGGUUCGCGCCCCGGUCUGGGAGGAUCCCACAUGCCGCGGAGCGGCUGGGCCCGUGAGCCAUGGCCGCUGAGCCUGCGCGUCCGGAACCUGUGCUCCGCAACGGGAGAGGCCACAACAGAGGGAGGCCCGCAUACCACCAAAAAAAAAAAAAAAAAGAGAGAGAGAGAGAGAGAGAGAAAGGUGUGUUGGUAUAUUUAACGGUCUUCCUAGACUGAGAAGGAAGAAAUACUGGUUUUUACUCUGUGUGCUGGCAAAUGUUAGUUCAAGAGGUAGGAAGGAUUUCUACCCACAUAGGCACAGCAGCAGAGCAAGGGUUAAUUCUGGGAUCCUCAGAACACAUGAGUAACGGGGGAUUUUGAAAUAGUUUGGUUCCUGUGAGAAUAGCAAAGCCAACGUCAUCAGUGUUUGGACUGGGAAGUUUAACAUGGUGGGGGUCUGACCUACAAAGGUUUAUGCAUAAGGUGUGAGCCCUUGUGCAAGCCAGGUUAAAAAAUAGCUGGUUAGGAUGGCUCAAGAAUUGGUUAUAAGGGAGAAAAAAAAAAUAAGAGAGAGAAUGUUAAAUUACUACCAGGUUGGAAACUGAGGCUUUUCAGCAGCUUUCCGUGGCAGCGGAUGAGCACUGGGAUAUCCGGGAAGAUGCGGAUUCGCGGGGCGCUCAGUGAGGGCCUGUGCUGUGCUUCCGCCGUGAGCGGGGACUACAGAUAUAAACUAAUUAAGAAAGCUGACCUGUUUGACCACUUACUGUGUGCUAGGCGCUUUCUCGUUGCUUUAGAAUGCGUUGUCCUGUUUAUUCCUCGGAACAACCCAAUGAUGUAGGUUACUGUGACGAUCCCUGUUUUAUAGCUGAGGAAGCUGAGGCCCACCAAGGUCAAGUUACUUGCUCAAGGCCACAGUAGAUAAGUCAUAGAGUUGACAUUUUAAAGUCAGCUUUAUACAACAAGCCAGUUAAGACCACUAACUACAAUAUUGACAUGGAAGGAUGUAUAUUCUGUACUAGAGAUAUAUACGGCUCAGUGGUAGGGCAGUAGAAAGUAUGAUUGUUUAUGAUUGGGGAAUGCACUUGUCUAUAUUUGAAAAUGCAAAAGGCUGGAAGAGUCAGAGUCUGAGAGGCAGACUUAGGUGAACUAACUUUCAAUGGGGAAAGGCCACUUAGUGGUUUUUGUUGUUUUUAAUUAAAAAGUUUUUUUUUGGCUUUUAAACUUACUUUGGAUUACAGACCCCCUUUGAGAAUCUAUAGAAAGUUGUGGAUCUCUUCUCCAAAAAAAAUGCAUGCUUGUGCACAGUUAUAGAAUUGUUGCAUAUAACUCCAAGGGAUUUCUGAAGCCUAGGUUCACAUUUGCUACUGUGGGGAGAGAGAGAAGGGGAAGGGCAUUCAGGCCUAAGGGAGCAGCAUGAUAAAGGCACAGAGUCCUGCAAGGACCCAGCUCUGGUGCUUUUAGAAUUGAGGAUGUGUCCUGGAGGGGGAUGGCAGAUGAACCUAGAAAUGUGGGAUGGCACUGCAUUGUGGAGGGCCUCAAGUACCAUGCCAUGGUGUCCGGUGCUCAUCCUGGGGGCAGAGAGAAGCCACUGCAUGUUUUCAGGAGAGGUGAUGUGCCUCAGCCUGGGUUUGACAAAGCCAACUCUGAAGGCGUGAAGAGAAGUUAGAUGACUAUUGCAGGAGGCCAGUGGGAGAGGCUGAGCCUAAACUACCGUACUGACAGUGCUGGCAGAGCAGUUUCAGAGGUCGAACCAACAGGAUUGGCUGACCAGAUGCGAUUUGUGAAAGAGAAGAUAGAGUUGAAGGUGAUUCCAGGGUUCUGCUUCUGGGUGAUGGAGAGGACGAUGGGCCUAUCAAAUGGAUGGGGAGUGGAGACAAGAGAAGCAGUUUGUAGAGAGGAGAGGAAUGAGGAGUUGAAUUUUGUUAUGUGCCGGAGGUGUACUGGGUGGCCAUCCAGAUGAGGAUGAUCUGUGGUGUUUGGAAAUUCCUGCUUGGAGCUCAGGCAGGUUGGAGUUGCAGGGGUAGUUUGGGGGCUCAUCAGCAGAGAAGGGAUGAGGAUGGGGGAUAUGCGCAGGCUCACGUGUAUUGCGGUGAAAUGGGCAUGGAUUUUAAAUGGAGUGUCUGUAUUUGUGGGAGAGUAAAACGAUUGCCUUUUUAAGAAAAAGGGAGACCCAUCAGUGGUUCCCAAGUCUGACCAUCAUCAGCAGAAGCACUUGAGAAGCUUUAAAAAAGAGACAUAACAAGAACGGACUCAAACCAGUUGAAUCAGAAUCUCUGAGAGUGUGGUUUGGGAAUUUGUGUUUUUAAAAGCUCCCUGAGUAAUUUGGGUGAUCAGCCAGGUUUGAGAGCCACUGGGCUAAGCUACAGCCUGGGUCCAAGAGGACAGGGCCACAUUUUUAGAGUUGGUAAAAGAAACAAAUGAGGAAGGAGGGAAUGAGACUGACAUUUGAAACAGUCCUUACAAAGUUUGGGUACAGGAAAUGAGCUACAUUAUUCAGUUUAUGCUCCCUGUGUACGGAGAGGGAACAUUACCAUGGCCCAGAUUUGCCAUGUGUAGGAAGAGCCAUGAGGUAGUAUCUUAAGGGGCAUAAAAAGUUAAAGGAAGACUUAUUUUAGGACAGGGGAGAGACUUGGCCAUUUGGUUAGUAGGGGAGAAAAUACAUGUAAUUGAGGAUAUAUAUGAUGGAAUAGAACCAGGAAGAGACUUUAAAAGGAGUAGGGCUUCUUUUACUCUGAUGCAUAAUGGCAGGAGAAGGGUCCAGUUAGAGGGCCCAGGGAGGGCGUAGUGAUUCCUUUCUUCAGAUGAGAAGUAAAGCUAUGUGAGCUGAGGUGGCUUAUGGGCUUUUGAAAAGUAGAGCAAGCUUAGUAGAGAUACUGUGGGGGAAUGGGAUAUGGACGGACAGGGGUGAGUAAAAGAAUUGCUGAGCAGUGGAAGGAGGGCCUGA